rnacentral:lncRNA from 1 species
CGGACCACUUGACCGGCGUUCCUCCCUUCCGCUCACCUCCCUGAGACGACUGAGAUGUGCCCUUGGUUAGAAAGAAGAGAAUCUGUUUGAAUGAUAAGAUGAUAUUAUAUGUGAUAAUAAUAUGAUCCCUGGCAUAAUGGGACUAGCAAACCAGUUAAAGAAAUAAGAGGUUUUAACUGAGAAUGGACGCAAGAAACCAAAUGAGCAUCUCAUUAGAGUAUCAUCUUUAUUACUGGUUCAGAGCCACCCUGCCUAUGUGUUACUACCUUGAAAGCCUGUGUGCCCCAUGGGUGACCCAGCACACAGCCCACUGAAAGCAGGGAUCGCAAACUCUUUCUGCGAAAGGCCAGACAGUACAUCUUUUCAGCUUUCUGGGCCACACAGUCUCUAUCACACUACUCAACUCUGCCAUUGUAGCAUGAAAGUAGCCAUAGGCAAUAUGCAAACAAAUGAGUGUGGCUGUAAGCCAAUUAAACUUUAUUUAUGGAUGCUGAAGUGUGAAUUUUGUACAGUGUUCAUGUGUCGCAAAAUAUUCUUUUAUUUUUUUUCAACCAUUUAAAAAUGUAAAAACUAUUUUUAGUUUACUUUCCAUACAGGCUGCGGGUAGGAUUUGGCCCCUGAGCCAUAAGCCUACAGAUUUAGGAGCAAUUUAUUCUAAAGGCCCUUUGAGGGAGACUGCUUCUUUGCUUGGCCUGAUUAUCCAGAGAGGGGGCAGGGAGGACAGGAGGCUAGAAUCAAACUGUCCCUUCCAAGGCAGCCAAAUAUGCCCAGCCAGGGCAGACAGGAACCCUCCCCAUCAGCAAAUCCUCUUUAAUUCUCUCAUAUCUCAAGAAAGACCUUUUCUCAGGAUCCCUAUCAUAGUUAUUUUACUUAGCUUUUUUGUAUUCCAUGGGUGUGCCCUUCUUUGCCAUGAUCACAG